GGUCAAGCUGCAAAGGGCUCACGGAGGAUACCUA
rnacentral:rRNA from 1 species